rnacentral:rRNA from 1 species
UCGACUGUUUAUCAAAAACAUUUUUAAUAGAUAUAUAAUUAUUAUAAAAUCUGCUCAAUGAUAUUUAAAUAGCCGCAGUUUUCUGUGCUAAGGUAGCAUAAUCAUUUGUCUUUUAAUUAAAGACUAGAAUGAAUGAUUUAACAUUUAAUUUCAUUUUUAAAAUUUUUAAAAAUAAAAUUUACUUUAACGUAAAAAGGCGUUAAUAAAUAAAAAAGACGACAAGACCCUAUCGAACUUUACUUUAGUUUAACUGGGGAAGUUUAUAAAUUACAAUUUUACAUUAAAUAAUAAUUAGACCUAUUAUAAAUAAUAUAAUGAUCAAGUUACCGUAGGGAUAACAGCGUAAUAUAUUUUCAUAGCUCUUAUAAAAAAAUAAGAUUACGACCUCGAUGUUGAAUUAAUUAAUCUAAUUAGUGCAAGAACCUAAUAAGAAAGUCUGUUCGACUUUUAAUAAAUUACAUGAUUUGAGUUCAGACCGGUGUAAGCCAGGUCGGUUUCUAUCUUA